AUUGAACGCUGGCGGCAUGCCUUACACAUGCAAGUCGAACGGCAGCACGGGUGCUUGCCCCUGGUGGCGAGUGGCGAACGGGUGAGUAAUACAUGUGAACAAGUCCUGUAGUGGGGGAUAGCCCGGCGAAAGCCGGAUUAAUACCGCAUACGAUCCUCGGAUGAAAGCGGGGGAACUACGGGCCUCGCGCUAUGGGGUUGGCCGAUGGCGGAUUAGCUAGUUGGUGGGGUAAAGGCCUACCAAGGCGACGAUCAGUAGCUGGUCUGAGAGGACGACCAGCCACACUGGGACUGAGACACGGUCCAGACUCCUACGGGAGGCAGCAGUGGGGAAUUUUCGACAAUGGGCGAAAGCCUGAUCCAGCAAUGCCGCGUGUGUGAAGAAGGCCUUCGGGUUGUAAAGCACUUUUGUCAGGAAAGAAAAACUGUACUCGAAUACAGGCGGGGGAUGACGGUACCGGAAGAAUAAGCACCGGCUAACUACGUG
rnacentral:rRNA from 1 species